AGAGUUUGAUCAUGGCUCAGGAUGAACGCUGGCGGCGUGCUUAACACAUGCAAGUCGAGCGAAGCACUUUACUAGAUUUCUUCGGAUUGAAGGUUUAGUGACUGAGCGGCGGACGGGUGAGUAACGCGUGGGGAACCUGCCUCAUACAGGGGGAUAACAGUUAGAAAUGACUGCUAAUACCGCAUAAGACCACAGCACCGCAUGGUGCAGGGGUAAAAACUCCGGUGGUAUGAGAUGGACCCGCGUCUGAUUAGCUAGUUGGUAAGGUAACGGCUUACCAAGGCGACGAUCAGUAGCCGACCUGAGAGGGUGACCGGCCACAUUGGGACUGAGACACGGCCCAAACUCCUACGGGAGGCAGCAGUGGGGAAUAUUGCACAAUGGGGGAAACCCUGAUGCAGCGACGCCGCGUGAAGGAUGAAGUAUUUCGGUAUGUAAACUUCUAUCAGCAGGGAAGAAAAUGACGGUACCUGACUAAGAAGCCCCGGCUAACUACGUGCCAGCAGCCGCGGUAAUACGUAGGGGGCAAGCGUUAUCCGGAUUUACUGGGUGUAAAGGGAGCGUAGACGGAGAGGCAAGUCUGAUGUGAAAGCCCGGGGCUCAACCCCGGGACUGCAUUGGAAAACUGUUUUUCU
rnacentral:rRNA from 1 species